AGAGUUUGAUCCUCGCUCAGAUUGAACGCUGGCGGCAUGCCUUACACAUGCAAGUCGAACGGCAGCACGGGAGCAAUCCUGGUGGCGAGUGGCGAACGGGUGAGUAAUACAUCGGAACGUGCCCAGUUGUGGGGGAUAGCCCGGCGAAAGCCGGAUUAAUACCGCAUACGACCUACGGGUGAAAGCGGGGGAUCGCAAGACCUCGCGCAAUUGGAGCGGCCGAUGGCAGAUUAGCUUGUUGGUGGGGUAAAAGCCCACCAAGGCGACGAUCUGUAGCUGGUCUGAGAGGACGACCAGCCACACUGGGACUGAGACACGGCCCAGACUCCUACGGGAGGCAGCAGUGGGGAAUUUUGGACAAUGGGCGCAAGCCUGAUCCAGCCAUGCCGCGUGUGGGAAGAAGGCCUUCGGGUUGUAAACCACUUUUGUCAGGGAAGAAACGGUCUGAUCUAAUAAAUCGGACUAAUGACGGUACCUGAAGAAUAAGCACCGGCUAACUACGUGCCAGCAGCCGCGGUAAUACGUAGGGUGCAAGCGUUAAUCGGAAUUACUGGGCGUAAAGCGUGCGCAGGCGGCUAUGCAAGACAGAUGUGAAAUCCCCGGGCUCAACCUGGGAACUGCAUUUGUGACUGCAUGGCUAGAGUACGGCAGAGGGGGAUGGAAUUCCGCGUGUAGCAGUGAAAUGCGUAGAUAUGCGGAGGAACACCGAUGGCGAAGGCAAUCCCCUGGGCCUGUACUGACGCUCAUGCACGAAAGCGUGGGGAGCAAACAGGAUUAGAUACCCUGGUAGUCCACGCCCUAAACGAUGUCAACUGGUUGUUGGACGGCUUGCUGUUCAGUAACGAAGCUAACGCGUGAAGUUGACCGCCUGGGGAGUACGGCCGCAAGGUUGAAACUCAAAGGAGUUGACGGGGACCCGCACAAGCGGUGGAUGAUGUGGUUUAAUUCGAUGCAACGCGAAAAACCUUACCUACCCUUGACAUGUCUAGAAGUUUCCAGAGAUGGAUUCGUGCUCGAAAGAGAACUAGAACACAGGUGCUGCAUGGCCGUCGUCAGCUCGUGUCGUGAGAUGUUGGGUUAAGUCCCGCAACGAGCGCAACCCUUAUCAUUAGUUGCUACGUAAGGGCACUCUAAUGAGACUGCCGGUGACAAACCGGAGGAAGGUGGGGAUGACGUCAGGUCAUCAUGGCCCUUAUGGGUAGGGCUACACACGUCAUACAAUGGCCGGUACAGAGGGCUGCCAACUCGCGAGAGGGAGCUAAUCUCAGAAAACCGGUCGUAGUCCGGAUCGCAGUCUGCAACUCGACUGCGUGAAGUCGGAAUCGCUAGUAAUCGCGGAUCAGCUUGCCGCGGUGAAUACGUUCCCGGGUCUUGUACACACCGCCCGUCACACCAUGGGAGCGGGUUCUGCCAGAAGUAGUUAGCCUAACCGCAAGGAGGGCGAUUACCACGGCAGGGUUCGUGACUGGGGUUAU
rnacentral:rRNA from 1 species